rnacentral:rRNA from 1 species
GAUGAACGCUGGCGGCGUGCCUAAUACAUGCAAGUCGAGCGAACAGAUGAGGAGCUUGCUCCUCUGACGUUAGCGGCGGACGGGUGAGUAACACGUGGAUAACCUACCUAUAAGACUGGGAUAACUUCGGGAAACCGGAGCUAAUACCGGAUAAUAUAUUGAACCGCAUGGUUCAAUAGUGAAAGACGGUUUUGCUGUCACUUAUAGAUGGAUCCGCGCCGCAUUAGCUAGUUGGUAAGGUAACGGCUUACCAAGGCGACGAUGCGUAGCCGACCUGAGAGGGUGAUCGGCCACACUGGAACUGAGACACGGUCCAGACUCCUACGGGAGGCAGCAGUAGGGAAUCUUCCGCAAUGGGCGAAAGCUUGACGGAGCAACGCCGCGUGAGUGAUGAAGGUCUUCGGAUCGUAAAACUCUGUUAUUAGGGAAGAACAAAUGUGUAAGUAACUAUGCACGUCUUGACGGUACCUAAUCACAAAGCCACGGCUAACUACGUG